UGAUUACUCAGCGAUAUGCGAUUAAAAGCUUCAAAUUUGCAGAAACCCAUCUUCUUCAGCUCCUACUCUGCCCAUGAUAUUCUCAGAGCGUCUUUCAUUGAGAAGUUUCUGGUCUCCAGAAUCCUUUUUGUGCACUUAAGAUUCCUUCUUGGUGUUUGGAGAAAGUUAAGUGAACAUCCCAGUGCAGUGACUUCAACAUGUUCUCAACUUCUCUUAUCACAUUUGAUUCGUCACGAACUAUUAGUUUACCUCCUGGUCUUACUAUUCUAUCCACUUCUGCCAUUACUGGAACAAGAUUGCACCUUUCAAAACAAAACAAAACAAGAGACUUAUUGUUGAUGAAACGUUACCAAAAGGUGUGGAUAUUAUGAGUUACGCUUAUACCUUGUUCUCAACUUUGAGAAAAGAUGAUCUGCAUGUAAGAGAUCAUAGCUUCGAGGGUAUGUGCUAAAUGAUUCACACCAGUCAUGAUAUAUUCCGAAUAGGCCUCUCUCGUAGAUUAUCGGUAGUGUAUCUGGUGAAUUUAUGUUUACUACAUUCAUUACCCACACCUGUAGGUCCUUCAGAGCUGCUGCAAACCUGCAUUUUUACGUAGUUAGUAAAAAAAGGUUUAGUUUUGUGUUCAUAAUCUGUAGUGAAAUCUCGAGGAGCUGGUUUCCCAUAUAUCCCCAUUUGAGAGCUGUUUAACCAGUAAGGCGGUGUUUGAAGCCGACGGGGCCAAUUCACGGGCCACUUGCUUCCUCUCUCGACCACAUUGGUUUCUGGUAGAUUGCAGCACCAAUACCAUUGAGUUUAUCCUUGUUGAUUGUCACAAGUUCCCAGCACAAGGAUUUUGUCAACGCGGACAUUUCUACAUCACUCAAAACAUCUCAGGUUCAGUGAAACAAACAAAAGAAGGAGGAACUCUAGCCUAAGCAUCCGAUUAAGUUCCAGAAGAAGCAUACCACCCUCAUUAUGCCAUGGGACUCUACAACGUGCACAGUGGAUAAGAUCAAACACUCUGCUCGGGAAUGGCAGUCGCUUAGAGCCCAUAACUGCUGAGAUGGCUGGAAUCUUUCUUUCAAGAGCAAACUGGACUUGAGCCUCGUGUUCAUCUUUUGGUGCAAGAGACAUUGCUAUAACAUCUCUUUCAAAGAGGAAACCGCCAAAGCUCGCCACUCCACAUCCAACAUCCAAUAUGACCCGAGUACGUUUACCCCACGCAAUGUUUUUCAAAGACUGCCAUAGUAGAAAAAAGGAACCAUUAUAUUCUGCAUAAAAUUUCUAUCUUUUACUUGUUGCAGUUUUAACACUAUACUGAAAUCAAGAAAUGAGUGUUCACCUGCUGAAGAAAAUCGAUAUAAUGAAGAGCUCCAUGGAUGAACUGUGUUCCACCACCAGGAAACGUCAAGAACUCGCCAGUGACCUUCACCCAGUUCUGAUGUCCUUUUACCUCAGCUAGCUUUGUGUGUGGGACAUUGUGGUACCAUAUCUACUAGAUCACAUGCCACUUGAUGGCCUCCUUAUAACCUUCUGGGAGGGGGACGAGACACGUUGAUUCUUUCGGUAUUCCAGAGCCAAAACCACUGGCUUCUGAACCCUGUUCGUGUUUUUUCUCAUCCUUCCGCUCUUCUUGUUGCUCCAUGUUUUCGUCCUUUGAUGUGCUCUCUUCUUCUUUGUUUCCGCUUUCUUCCUCUGCUGUGGUAUGUUCUUCCUGUUGGCCAUUCUCAUCUUUCAUGCUCUUCUCUCCCUUCCCGUUUUCUUCACUAGCUGUUGUCUUCUCCUCGUUUUGUUGUCCGGUUUCCUCAUUCCCUGAGUUUUGUUCCUCUGGUUGUCCGUUUUCUUCAUUCUUUGAGGUCUCUGAUGUUUCCCCCUGCCCCGUUUCCAUAGGUUGUUCUUGUUUGGUCGCAUCUGUGAAUGUCACAUCCGUAUUCGAAUCCUGUUCUUGCCCUUGUUUAUUUCCUUGUUCCACAUCCGGCUGUUCCUUCCCUUGUCCCUGCUCUUGCCCUUGAGUCCCUUUGGGCUGAGUCCCAGCGUCCUCGUCCCGCUGUUGUUUCUGUUCCUUUUCAAACUCCUUGACGACUUUUUUCAUCUGACCCUCCUCACUCUCUUGCACCGUCUGGUUCUCCUUGCCGUUAUCUUUCUCUUUUUCCUCGGAAAUUUUGUCAUCGUUGUUUUGUUGGGUCUCUUGUGUUUGAGUCUUUGAGCUCGUCGUUUCACUCUUCUCUUUCGCUGACUUCCGUUGCUCGUCUUCAGACUUUACGGCAUCGUCUGGAAGCUUUCCCGGAUUGUCUUCAAAUGCCUGUUGCUCAUCAGACUCUUGUUUCGUGGGUUCGGGCUCAUCAUUACCGUUUGAAGAGGCAGACACAUCACUCCUCUCUGUCUCUGCGACAGCCGCUCGAGUGGAGCCUUGUGUGAUCUGCGGUGGAAUAACGGAAUUGGAAGAAAGCAUCCACACCCCGAAGACACACAGAGCCACAAAGAUGACCAUUGUAAUGGUCGACGCAUAGGACGACGUCGAAGUGCGUUUGUUGCCACGUCCCCUCCCGAAGGCCAUCUUUACGGUCUUGCGUAUAGUACUAGUUAUGGAGAAAGAAGAAGAAGAAAAAUGAAGGAGUAAAAUGGGAGUUGAAGGAAGUAAAAAUAGAAGAAAAAGAAGAGAAAGAGAGGUUGUGAAGAGACAAGACUGGAUCAAAGAUCCUAUAGAGUCGGAUAUGGGACUUUCAAUUUCGUGUCUCUAAAUUUAGUUAUGGUCUCUGUGUUUCAUAUUUUGUUGUCCAUGAAAAAUUAGUGCCAUGUAAUCCAAUGUUAACUUGUAACGCCUAGUCAAGGAUAUAUUAAACAUGGCAAGCUUGUGCUUUUUUGGUAUAAUGUAUUCGAAGACUGUUUAAUUUGAAUUUUGAUUGAUUAAGU
rnacentral:lncRNA from 1 species